rnacentral:rRNA from 1 species
GAACGCGUCUCCGUUAAUGAUUGUAGGUGCUUGCACUUGAGAGAUUUAACAUUGAGACGAGUGGCGAACUGGUGAGUAACACGUGGGUAACCUGCCCUUGAAGUAGGGGAUAACACUUGGAAACAGGUGCUAAUACCGUAUAACAACCAAAACCACCUGGUUUUGGUUUAAAAGACGGCUUCGGCUGUCACUUUAGGAUGGACCCGCGGCGUAUUAGCUUGUUGGUAAGGUAACGGCCUACCAAGGCGAUGAUACGUAGCCGACCUGAGAGGGUAAUCGGCCACAUUGGGACUGAGACACUGCCCAAACUCCUACGGGAGGCAGCAGUAGGGAAUCUUCCACAAUGGACGAAAGUCUGAUGGAGCAACGCCGCGUGUGUGAUGAAGGGUUUCGGCUCGUAAAACUCUGUUGUUGGAGAAGAACAGGUGUCAGAGUAACUGUUGACAUCUUGACGGUAUCCAACCAGAAAGCCACGGCUAACUACGUGCCAGCAGCCGCGGUAAUACGUAGGUGGCAAGCGUUGUCCGGAUUUAUUGGGCGUAAAGCGAGCGCAGGCGGUUUUUUAGGUCUGAUGUGAAAGCCUUCGGCUUAACCGGAGAAGUGCAUCGGAAACCGGGAGACUUGAGUGCAGAAGAGGACAGUGGAACUCCAUGUGUAGCGGUGAAAUGCGUAGAUAUAUGGAAGAACACCAGUGGCGAAGGCGGCUGUCUGGUCUGUAACUGACGCUGAGGCUCGAAAGCAUGGGUAGCGAACAGGAUUAGAUACCCUGGUAGUCCAUGCCGUAAACGAUGAGUGCUAAGUGUUGGAGGGUUUCCGCCCUUCAGUGCUGCAGCUAACGCAUUA